rnacentral:rRNA from 1 species
AUGUGUCUUCAUUGCCGGUGUGCCUCUCUGGUGCUCAUUCAUGUUGAGCUAUGCUAUGUACAAUGCCCUGCUGAACAUGGAUGGGAUGGGAGUGCUCACCUUCACCUUGAUGCGCAAAAGAAAAGAAACCUGCCCUGCCCCUUUGCGCCAAGUGAGCCCGGCCGGUUCAGAAAGGCCAUCAUGCGCCGAGCUGUCAAGCUCAAUGUUGAUGCCAUGCGCUUUCAGAGCAGCAGCGAGUAUGGGUGCCAUGAUGCGCGACCACCGUGGCCAUAUGCCGUGUACGCCAAAGGGACAUACACAAGAAGAUGCAAGGGGUCUUUAGCAUACCCUGGUUGCUCAAGAAUUGCUGCAGUAGCCAAUAGUAUCCCUGAAGGCACACAUCAAGCUGUUGUUGCAGGAGAUAGUCUGAAGGUCAUUAUGAUAAACUAA